UUAUGCGUCGCGCGUUCAUUCAAACCGUCGCGUCGCGUCGCGUCGCAUCGCGUCGCGUCAUAUAGAGACAUCACCGAGACGCGAUGAUCGACGCAUCAGUCAUUCUCGAUGUAAAACUCGGGCUCCUGUUUGCAAAUUACGUAUCGUGUGAACCAGAGAGAAAAAAGAUUUCCUAUCAACGCAAGAGGAAUUACAAAAUUUAACUCUGAUCGAUGCCGGUCGAUGACAAAACGGACGAGUCUCUCCGGUUCGCCGCUUCGAAUCCGGAUUAGUUUUACUGCGUAAAACGUAAAUCCCAAAGAGAGAAGAGAUAAAGACGAGACCGUUAUCUUUUACAACAAGCUGCCGAUAGCCAGUAGCAAAACACAUCAGACGCCGCUUUACAAAGCAUGCAUAAAUAUCGUUUGGAACGAAAACUGCGAACGCGUGUACUCGAGAAGACGUGCAGGCAGUAAUGGUCACAAUCCACAAACUGUCCUCGGGCGAUACUUGGCGUAAUGAUAAGAGCUACAGCACACAGAAAAAAACGUAAAGCAAUAAGACGUAACCAAUGAGGGAAUCGAUCAAAUCACAGUAGAAGAGACUGUAAGGCAAUAACGUGAGCAGUAGCAAAUAAAAAAUGUUGAU